rnacentral:lncRNA from 1 species
AACUGGCUACGUAUUUGAAAAAGAAAACGUUAGACCCGUAUCUCACACAACCCCAAACAAAAUUCCCGCGGAUUAAAGGGCUAACCACCUGUGAUGGAGUGAAUGCUGAUGUGUCCCCCCAAAAUUCCUGUGUUGAAGCCUCACCCCCAGUGACACGGUAUCAGGAGAGGGAGCCUUCGUUACGUUAGCCAGGAAUCCCACCCUCACCAGGAACCUGACCAUGCUACACGGUGAUCCAAGACUCCCAACCUCCAGAACCGUGGGAAGUAAGUUUCUGCUGUUUAAGCCCCACAGUCUAUGUUAUUUUGUUCUCAGCCCCGGCUGACGAGAACGCCAUUAGAACAUCAGAAGCCACAGCCAUAGAAGGACAGACGAGACGCUGAAGUUUGUUUUAACCGUCUUGCCAUAAGAAAUACCCUAUAAGUCACAUCUGAGACUCAGGCGUCCUAAGAAAGGGGGGUGUGGACACUGCCCCCAGCACCUCUUGUGGCCGGGCUGGGUGACAGGCACACAGGAACUCAUGGCACUCGUCUCAUAACCAUUGUUCACAUUAAACGUGCACCAAAAUUUACAACAGAACACCAUCGACAAAGCUAAAAGGCAGGCAAUGGAUGGAAGAAACCAUUUCCAAACUACCAACAUGGUGUCCCAACAGGAAAAGACUAACUACUGGGCAAAAGAUGCGGUUAAACAAGUCACAGAAGAACCCACAGGUACCGCUCCUGCAGAAGCUGGCGACUCUGCCGACACCGUCAGCAUGACGCAGAGGGGUCUCCUCCCCACACCCACAGCUCCGCGCAUCCUCCCCUGUGGGCCCGAGGUGGGCGUGUACUGAUUCAUCCCCACCUCUGUCUGCUCCUGAGAGCAGCGCCCUUCACAUCUGCGUCCUAGGCCCCACUAAACGCAGGACACGGAGGCCCUCGCAAACUUCUCGAAUGAAUGAACGAAUGAAGGUCGUUUUCAAGACCUCUGGCCCUUCCCCUCUUAGAAUCUCUAAAUCUCACACUUGCACUUGCUCUGGAGGGGAUGAAACAGACACUGCCAGGGCCCGGAGGUUUACGAUGUUUAUGCUGAGGCCCAGGGAGCUAUGCGGGCUCAGGAUCCAUGUGGAUUUGUUACCCUGAACUCAGCGGUCAGGGCCUGCUGGUGAAUCAGCAAAACCUCCGGCUGUGCUUCAUUCCAGGGAGGAAACCCAGCAGCCCCGUCCCCGUCUGCAUUUCCGCUGACGCUAUCACUGGAGAGGGAGACGAGGAGUCCUUGAAACCAGCCCUCCGAACAUAAAUAAGCAGCCGGGUUCAGUGAAGCACAUGACGCAGGCUUCACCUCUGCCAGCGUUUCCAUCCCAGAAAGUCCUGCGGGACAGAUUCUCACAGUCCCCAGUGAGCCCCAUCCAUGACCCCUGCUCGCCCCCCACGUUUCCCAGAUGACGGCAGCUGGAGAGCCUUCCUCCGACAGCGGCCCCAGGCCACGGAGAGGCGGCCCCGCAGAGAGCGGAUGUUUGUGAAGCUCCUCUUGGAGGGAAAGCUGCCCCCAACGCUGAACACUCCCGUCUCAAGGCACAGACAGGGGAGCGGUCACAAGCCGGCCAGUCCCUUUUACAGCCAAAAUCGGGGGCUCAGAACAUUCUUUAAUGAUUUCCGAGCCACCGAGUGCACUGGGCGGCCCCGUCUCUGUUUUCAUUCCCUGAGAUGUGGUGCUUUCUCUCCUGGAGCCCCGUGUUGGGGACGCUUCAACCGCAGGCCUUGCCUCCCUCCCACAGUGCUGAGGAAGGACAGGCCCUCCCUUCCCCAGGAAAGGCCAGGCUGGAGGAGCCCAGGUGUGGGGGGAAGUUCUGAGCUGGCAUUGUCACCCCCGGGUCUAGUAUCCCCACAGAGUGGACCCUGGCCCUGAGCCCAGGCUGUGCCUCCCCUAUGUGCAGCCGCUGGGAUGUGUCCAGGGCAGCACAGGAGGCAGGUGCCCAGGUACUCCCCUAGGCAGAAGCCUCGGGUUCUGUUCCAGGGCAGGUGGGCUGGCGUGGCCCUCGGGAGCACAGAGCCCUGACUGUAGCCCCCCAGAUCCCCACAGGCACCGGCCAGUCUCACCCAGGAGGGCAGGCCCUGCUGUGCUGCAGGCCCCCCGGGGCGCUGGUCCCCUCCCCCAUGCUGACCACACGUGGCUUCCUUGGGAUCAGCGCACCCCCAGGAAACCCUGGGCGCCUUCACGACUUGGUCACUUGGUGACCUGGGACCCUCGGGCGCCUGCUCCGUGCACAGAGCUGGCCAGGCUGUCCGUAGGGAAGUGUUGACUGGGGGCCCCAAGGCUCCUGCUAAGAAAUCCUUCUGAGCACGGCCUCUGGCUCUGGAGAACCAGAACUCCCUGCCCUGCCACUGACUCACAAAGUUGUCCCCUCCCUGUGCACUUCCAGGCACAAAAGCCAGGAUUUGAUUACUGGGGAACCGCAACGUGCAGGGGUGGAACUCCGCAAUGAGUCCAGAAACUCCAAACACGUGAACCUGGUAACUCACCUUGCAAACGGAGGAGCAGGCCUGCACAGGGUCCCUGGCGUUCGCUCUCUCGUCUCCUAGAAGAGUCCUCCUUGGGUCCUGAGCUCAGCGGUCCUCGGCCAGUCCACUCUCUGUCCUUCUUGCUGGCCAGCCCCCUUCCGCGAAGGGACAGCUCCCUCGUCUCCAUGGCAGGGUGGUCUCGGGGGACAGUGGCAACAUCCCCAACUGCCUUUCUCUGCUCUUCACUGCCGACCCUGCUCCCAGGGCCGCCCCCACGGGGCCAGGAGGCUCCGAGGUGGUGACAGGUAGAUGCUCCAGCUGUGCUGAGAACUGCCCAGCCUCUCCCCAUCUGCACGUCUCUCAGGAGAGGACCCACAUCCGGUCCCCACACAUCUACCCACUGUGGGUGUUCUGGCUGGGGUGCCUGUGACCCACAACUACCUCCGGCCCAGGGCUCACUCAGGGGGCUGGCGGCCUGGAGUGCCCAGACCUGACCCUGCUGAGUUCUGUGGGGACGGACGACACUCAGGGCCCAGCAGGGGUAGAAGGAUGGGCUCUAACAGGUGUGGCCCCAGGACCACAAGCUGCACCUGCUGCGUCUGAGCCCAAACAGGGCCUCCUUCCCCUCAGGUGAGGUUUUGCAGGGAGCUGGGCGGGGCACAGAAGAGCUGGGAGCAGGUCAGCAGUUGAAGAGUGGCUCCGGGAGGGGCCGCAGAGGCCCAGGGCCUGCUCUCAGGGGUCGCUGGGGACAGGAGAGGCUCCGACAGGGGCCGCCCAGUGUGCUCUUCUCUCAUGUGCUGGGGCCUCUCUCUUCAUUCCCUGCUGGAAACAUCCAUGCUGUGCUUGGCGGGGCUGCGUUUCCCCGUGGCACAGAGCUCCCAGGAAGGGCUCUCCUGCCCUCUCGUGGCGGCCUCGGGGCAGUGGCCUGUGGGGGCCGCCAGCCCCUCCUUCGCUGUGUGAGCCGCUGGUCACAGAAGACUGCGGUGCAGGGAAAGGGGCCACUUCCUGAUACUCAGGGACAGAUUUUCUUCUCUUGAGGAAAGCCUCAUAAGACCUCUUCCGGGUCAUUCCUGAUUAGGACUUUAAUCCAGGGGUCAACAAAAGACUCCCCAACCUGAAGGAGGCUGCCCAGGCAGGGAGAAGAAAGGUCAGAGCCCACGGAGAGGCAGAGGGGCGCCAGCCUGGAGUGCCCCCUGCUGCGGCGCCCGGCACGUGGCUCGCCUGCUCUCCCGCCUCUGUCACCUGGGAAGAAACGGUGGGCAGGGGGAGCAGGGGGAGCGCGCCCGGGGCCUGAAGCAAGGCCGGGCCUUCGCCAUGGACAAGUGACUUGGGCCUGCUGGAGACAGGGCAUGGACCGUGGCCUCUAGCGUUUGUCCAUCAUGUGGCAUUUCUGGGAGCUCGGGACUCCACUCUGACAGAGGAGAGAGGCCAUUUCUUUUACUGUCUCCUGUCUCUGAAGAGAAGGAUGAAGUAAAAGUUGAAAAACAACAGGAAUGAAGUCAGCAGCAAGACCAGCCGGUGCCACCGAUGACCAGGCCUGAGGUUAAAAGAUUACCCCCCCUCCCACUCUAACCACAUGUGAUCUCAAUCUAUCACGACCCUUUCACGUGGACCCCUUAGAGGUGUAAGCCCUUAAAAGGGCCAGGAACUCUGUUUUCGGGGAGCUCGGUUCUUGAGACGCGAGUCUGCCGAAGCUCCCGGCCGAAUAAAGCCAAAUCCUUCCUUAA